AAGGCACAGGCCACACCUGGCCAGACUGGAUUUGCUCGAUUAACGAGAGUGAGGAAAACUGUAAAUUGUCAGUAAUAUAUUGAUGGCCCCGCUUGGCGCAGUAACACUCUGCCCUUCUCCUUUCAUGGCAGCGCACACCUGGCUUCCUUUUGUUACCAAGGCGCAUGGUUGCUGUGAAAAACGCUGCUGAUCUGAUGCUUAAAUGGGUACAGAGAAAUCUUUGCCUGGGUCCUGGUCCAUUCCCUUCUCCAAGAUUAGAACUAGGAAAAUCAGUGUGGUGGACAUCAUCUCAUUGGUUGUUAAUUUCUCCCAGACAUGAAGCCCGCAGGGCAGCUGCGCAGAGCCUUCCCUUCCUCCCAGAGCUCUUGUGAGGCUUCUGGGCUCAGGUUAGAGUGGGGGGUCGCAGCUCCUGGCUCACCGUGCUGUCUGUACUGACACCGUUGCAGAGAUGAUUGUGCGCUUGCUCAUUCGUGAAUUUCCCCAUCCACUGGGCAAACCUGAACCCAGCACCUGCUGAGCACCAGGCCAUGUUCUAGCAGCAGCACAAGGCCCCUGCCCUCGUGGGGUUCACUUUCCAGGAGAGUGAGACAAGUGACAAGUAAACACCUAUUCAGAAAAUAUCUUUUCAGGCUCUCUUAAAAACAAUAAACAAGUUUUGGACCCAUGAUUAAUAGAAUAAUGACCCUUGUGUCUUAAAACCUGAACCCUGUGGAUAUGACAUUGGUUACAUGGUGAAAGGAAAUUAAAGUUGCACAUGGAAUUAACGUUGCUCAUCAGCUGAUCAUAACAGGGGGAAAUGACCCCAGAGCAUCAGGUGGGCUCAAUGUAAGCAAGAGGGAAUUAGAGAGAGAAUUACGAGAUGUAUCACAAGAGAACACAGUCCUGCCAAUGCUUGGAUUUUAGCCCAGUGAGGCCCGUGUCAGACUUCUGACCUACUUUGGAAUCCAUAAGAUAAUAAAUGUGUCUUAUUUAAGGCUGCUAAGUUCAUAUAGUCUAAUUCAGCACAAAUGGGAUACUAGUAUUAAUGCAGAUAUUCAGUGAUCCCGCAUCAUGGAGGCCUUCCCUGCCUACCUUCAGAAGAAAGUUUUCCUGCUUUUGCUGUCUUGGGUUAUUCAAUGACCUGCUUUUUCACUUUGGGGAGCAGGGACAGAGGGCUUCCCUGAGGAGGUG
rnacentral:lncRNA from 1 species